GGCCUUUUGUAGUUCAUAAGCCUGAUGAUUGGGUGUUCACACUGUUGUGUGAGAUGUGCCUCCCUCAAACCUUGUUGUGGGCCGGCCUGGUG
rnacentral:snoRNA from 1 species